rnacentral:tRNA from 1 species
GAGGGGGUAGCAAAGUCUGGUCAAAUGCGCAGGACUUAAGCUCUCUGCGAAAAGGUUCAAAUCCCUUCCCCCUCA